rnacentral:rRNA from 1 species
CCUACGGGUGGCUGCAGUGGGGAAUAUUGGACAAUGGGGGCAACCCUGAUCCAGCCAUGCCGCGUGUGUGAAGAAGGCCCUCGGGUUGUAAAGCACUUUCAGUGAGGAAGAACGCCUGGUGGUUAAUACCCAUCAGGAAAGACAUCACUCACAGAAGAAGCACCGGCUAACUCCGUGCACAGCAGCCGCGGUAAUACGGAGGGUGCGAGCGUUAAUCGGAAUUACUGGGCGUAAAGCGCGCGUAGGUGGCUUGAUAAGCCGGUUGUGAAAGCCCCGGGCUCAACCUGGGAACGGCAUCCGGAACUGUCAAGCUAGAGUGCAGGAGAGGAAGGUAGAAUUCCCGGUGUAGCGGUGAAAUGCGUAGAGAUCGGGAGGAAUACCAGUGGCGAAGGCGGCCUUCUGGACUGACACUGACACUGAGGUGCGAAAGCGUGGGUAGCAAACAGGAUUAGAUACCCCAGUAGUC